AUGACACCGGUGAUUCCGCAGGUGAGUGUGUGCCAGCGUACCCACGAGGCACCGGCACUAGAAGAACUUAAUUUGCUCUGUUCCCAGGCUGGGGCUCAGAGCUGGACUUCUGUGACUUCAAAGCCCAAGCCGGUCCACUCGUCCUUCUGCCUCUCGUGGAUCAGGUCUGAACCGCUCCGAGCUGGGCCUGGUGUGUGGGCCACAUCCGUGGGCAGACCUCGGGGUGGGAAGCCAGGCCAGCAGGAGUGGGAGGAGCGGGACCGUGACCCAGUUUGGGCCUGGCCCGGGGCUUCAGCCACAGCGUCUGCUGAGUCAUCCCACGGCCGGGCUGAGUGGCCGGCUGGGCCUCCUCCCAUCCGGCUGAUGCGCCUCUCCAGGUCAGGGCAGACCGAAUGGCAUCCCCGAGGCCUCCCUUGCCUCACGGGGCCCUGGGCCCUGGGGCUCCCACCUCUCCUCUUCAGGAGAGCCCCGUGGACACCCUGCCCUCCCUGCCCCGCGGGCCUCUGUCCACCCAGCUCCUGCAGAGAGAACUACACUCUUUCCUCCGAUGCAGUCUCAUUGCACCGAAGGAACAGGCUCUCACUAGCCCCCGAUAAACACACAUUCCUCCUUCAUCAGGAGGCUCUCCUGGUGUCCAGUGUGACUUGUACUUGCUGUGGACAGAAGGCUGUCCCUGGCUCAGUCCUCGGGGGCGGGGGCAUGGGGGCAGCCUGGCAGGAAGGGUGCCAAGUGCCAGGCGUCUCUGUGGGGCCCAGGGGGUCUGGGCCGAACCUGGCAGCCUCAGGCCGUGGUGGGGCAGCCACUGGCUGGCCCUGGGGGCCGCCAGCCAGGUCACCUUCAGGUGGCACCUUCCUGGGUCCGUGGCCAGGCCAGCUGGGCAGGGCGGGGGCCGACGAGCGCUAUUUUGGGAGCCGAGGGGAAGAGACGAAGGAGGCUCUGUUUGCAGCUCUUCUGUCUGCCCACUCCCUCUCCUGGGAGGUCUGUGGACACGGGCGUCCGCCCGCACUGACCCUUCCCACUGAGCUCUAUUUUCAGCCGAGACCCGCGUGA
rnacentral:lncRNA from 1 species